UUCUUAUCAAGAGAGACUGAGGGACCAGGCCCAGUGAUGUCUCAGCAACCAGCUGUUUAGGCCACGGUGCUAAUUCCAAUAGGUAAUUACUUCCUAGAAGAUAAGAA
rnacentral:ncRNA from 2 species